rnacentral:rRNA from 1 species
GACGAACGCUGGCGGCGUGCCUAAUACAUGCAAGUAGAACGCUGAAGAGAGGAGCUUGCUCUUCUUGGAUGAGUUGCGAACGGGUGAGUAACGCGUAGGUAACCUGCCUGGUAGCGGGGGAUAACUAUUGGAAACGAUAGCUAAUACCGCAUAAAAUUGAUUAUUGCAUGAUAAUUAAUUGAAAGAUGCAAUUGCAUCACUACCAGAUGGACCUGCGUUGUAUUAGCUAGUUGGUGAGGUAACGGCUCACCAGGGCGACGAUACAUAGCCGACCUGAGAGGGUGAUCGGCCACACUGGGACUGAGACACGGCCCAGACUCCUACGGGAGGCAGCAGUAGGGAAUCUUCGGCAAUGGGGGGAACCCUGACCGAGCAACGCCGCGUGAGUGAAGAAGGUUUUCGGAUCGUAAAGCUCUGUUGUAAGAGAAGAACGGGUGUGAGAGUGGAAAGUUCAUACUGUGACGGUAUCUUACCAGAAAGGGACGGCUAACUACGUGC